GGGGGAAUCUUGCGCAAUGGGCGAAAGCCUGACGCAGCCAUGCCGCGUGAAUGAUGAAGGUCUUAGGAUUGUAAAAUUCUUUCACCGGGGACGAUAAUGACGGUACCCGGAGAAGAAGCCCCGGCUAACUUCGUGCCAGCAGCCGCGGUAAUACGAAGGGGGCUAGCGUUGCUCGGAAUUACUGGGCGUAAAGGGCGCGUAGGCGGACAUUUAAGUCAGGGGUGAAAUCCCAGAGCUCAACUCUGGAACUGCCUUUGAUACUGGGUGUCUUGAGUGUGAGAGAGGUAUGUGGAACUCCGAGUGUAGAGGUGAAAUUCGUAGAUAUUCGGAAGAACACCAGUGGCGAAGGCGACAUACUGGCUCAUUACUGACGCUGAGGCGCGAAAGCGUGGGGAGCAAA
rnacentral:rRNA from 1 species